UGCCAGACUCCUACGGGAGGCAGCAGUGGGGAAUAUUGCACAAUGGGGGAAACCCUGAUGCAGCAACGCCGCGUGAGUGAAGAAGUAUUUCGGUAUGUAAAGCUCUAUCAGCAGGGAAGAAAAUGACGGUACCUGAGUAAGAAGCCCCGGCUAACUACGUGCCAGCAGCCGCGGUAAUACGUAGGGGGCAAGCGUUAUCCGGAUUUACUGGGUGUAAAGGGAGCGUAGACGGCGAUACAAGUCUGAAGUGAAAGCCCGGGGCUCAACCCCGGGACUGCUUUGGAAACUGUGUUGCUGGAGUGCUGGAGAGGCAAGCGGAAUUUCUAGUGUAGCGGUGAAAUGCGUAGAUAUUAGGAAGAACACCAGUGGCGAAGGCGGCUUGCUGGACAGUAACUGACGUUGAGGCUCGAAAGCGUGGGGAGCAAACAGGAUUAGAUACCCUUGUAUU
rnacentral:rRNA from 1 species